UUCUGUGCUGGCUUCUGCAUAUGCACGUUGGUGACUUUCAUACAAUACCCUCUUGUGAACCUUUGGCCUCAUGCUGGCUUUGGCUGGCAGAGGAUUUACACAAACUUGAAUGUAAUGGAAAGACCAUGUUGUGCGCAAGCACUAAUGUACAACUUUCAACAACGGAUCUCUUGGCUCUCGCAUCGAUGAAGAACGCAGCGAAAUGCGAUAAGUAAUGUGAAUUGCAGAAUUCAGUGAAUCAUCGAAUCUUUGAACGCACCUUGCACCCAUUGGUAUUCCAAAGGGUAUGCUCGUUUGAGUGUCAUUGUACUCUCACACUCUAAUUAUGGAGAAGUGGACUUGGGUGUUGCUGCUUUGCUGUGGCUCAUCUCAAAUAUGCUAGUGCAACUCAUGGUUGGAUAUAGUACAGCGUGAUAAGUAUCUUCGCUGGCACCUCAUGAAGAGGGUGUCCGAUUGGGAGCUCUGUGCUUCAAACCGUCCGAUCUGGGACAAUUUAUGACAACUUGGCCUCAAAUCGAGUAGGACUACCCGCUGAACUUAAGCAUAUCAAUAAGGCGGAGGA
rnacentral:rRNA from 1 species